GUUUUUGUUUUCCCCAUCUUUUUGGUGGUGAGUUCAUGUUGUUAGAAGUACAUGUCUUGUAUGGUCUUAAUCUCUGUUGUGUACUAUUUUUUUAUAGUCUUAAGUUAUAAUAAAAAAAAACAAAAAACAAAAAACAAAAAGUAGGAACCAAACAUAAAAGGUCUAGUAAAGCCAAAAAUUAAUUUCCUAUUGAUUUUAAAGUGAUCUAGCUGAGUUUUUACACUGAAAGCAAAGAUUAUAGCAAGUGUAGCCCAUGGUAUUUAUUUUCAGUCAAACCAAAGUUACAUAUAAUUCUGCCUCUGCUUAUACGGGAUAUGAACACUAACACACUCCCUUCAAAGACUUGUGCAGGCCAAAUUGUUGGAAUGCUGAUUUUCUUGACAACUCUAAACCCCAAAACUAUGAUAAGACGUUAUGGUGUAGUUGAAGAUAGCAUAGUCAGAUGUUUGCUUAAAACCUAGAGACUUUAUGUGUUGCUUUUCAUGUGCUGUGCCAAGUCUUGAUAAUACUUUUUCCCCCAACCAAGGGACCUCAUAACCUGAUUAUGGUUAUUGCUUUACAAACAGUUUUGACAGAAGGUGGCUGCUAGAGCUUAACAAAUGUCCCGGUUCCAUGUGAUGGAGCCGGUUCUUGCAAACUAAGCUCAAUGUUUAUCCUUUGCUGAAGUCAGCAAAUAGAGUUAGAGAGAUACCCAGUCAUCUAUCACACCAAAUAAAAGGACAUAACGGCUUUCAAAGGGUUUUCCCACUUACCCAAAAGGCUUUCUGAAAGCUUCUACCUCUGCAAAAAAGAAAAAAGAAAAAAAAAAAAAAAAAGAAAAAAAGGAAAAAAAAACACAAGAAAAAAAAAGAGAAAAAAGUUAGAACAAUUACGGCAGAUUGCAUGAAACAUGAGAACGUCACAGUACCUGCUACUUUUCAUUAUGUUUGUCUUUGGGUCAUGAUCAACGAACCGGAAGUUAUUGAUGUGGUAUCAAAGGAGAGAUUGGUAUUCGGAAGGAUGGUUCUCUGAUGUCUAGGAUACUGCUGUAGGGAUAAUCUGAAAGGGAAACAAGUCUUUCGGGUGCAUGUUCAAAAAGCUCUGAUGGACUGGAAGUAACUUGGAGAGUUGUUCCAUCGGGAGGGUGGCCUAAGACUACAAUGCUAAAGUAUGCAUACCUCAGUUUCAAAACUUUUGAAAGGAAGUCUCAGCCACAGAAUGCAUAUACCUGUAGAGUUUUGCAUGGGUUUUAUAUGAAUACAAUUUUAAAAAAUAGCUGCUUGCACAUUAUACCAGAAAAACCUCCAAAACUGCAAUUGCUUUGAAAAUAGAUUUUAGGUUUUUUGGAGUUUUCUGAAAUGCUUGGUCUGUAUUUUGAUAAUUGUGCAUAUUAUGUAAAAAUGUUGGUGGACCCAUAAAUGACCAGACUUUUUCUAAGAAAAAUGUUGCUUUAAUGCAUUUCAUGGAUUUUUACUCUUCUAUCAUUGCUUGCUAGUAAUAGCAAACCUGCUUUUCUGCAUCUGCUUUGCGUAGCUAUUGUAAGGCUUUGAACUAAUGUAUGUAUUUAUUGCUUGAACUUCUGUGCAUACCUUAUAAAGCAUAAUGUCUGACAAUUUAAAUGGCUCAUGUAUUCUUGCUUCUACCAUAAGCUGAUUAUGGGGACUAUGAUCUUUUGUAUACAGCAAAUUUUAACUGUAGCACAAACAUCUGUUUAUGUAUUGGUGGGAUAUACCUGUUUUAUUUAUCUUCUUUGAGGUAAACUAAUUUUUGAUACUUUUCAUUACUGUGUACUAUGUUCAUACUUUGAAUUCUCUGACGUUAGAAGUCAUGGUUGAGAAUUGUAACAGCUGUUAUUUGUUCUGUAUUCAUGGCUUUCACUGCUGAAUAAAAUAAAGGACCAAACCUAGGAUUUGAAAGAAAACUGCCUACCUCUAACACCAGGGAGUUACCAGAUUCUAGUUUACAUCAUUUUAGUCUACAAAGACACAAUUGCUUAAACCUAGUGGGCUUAAGACUUAUAUUCUAUGUGUUGGAUUCAUGGCACCGUUGUAUUGUUUGAAAAUCAAUUAAAAUUUCAUGUGACUGUUACAAGUAUUUGGUAGAAUUACCACUAACUGGCUUUUCUUCAGAUGAGUCAGAUAAAGAGAAUCGUCAUCAGCAUUCUGUGUCUACAGCUGCUUGACUUCAUAGGAAUGCAUUGCUGUGUGAUUAGGGAAUCGAAGAACAGCCAGCUAGGAAUGGAGCUACAGAAGUUCACUUAAAACAAAUGGUCCUGGACUUUAAUGUCCCUGGGCAGAUUCAGUUGCAACAUCCAAUAGACUAUUUUGUAAAGUUUUGAAAUUGGGCCUUUACAUUUUUUUGAGAAUUUGUAAGACCUCCUACUACUCGUGUUAAUACUAACACACUCCUGGACAGCAACAUCACUGGCGUAUUAGUUAUUGACAAAACCUUACUCUUGUUGCUUCAUUCAUUCACGUUGCAAUGAAAGGGGCUUUCCCCCUCUCCGUCUAAGAACACUUGAUUAAUCUUACUUAACAGAAAAGAGGGGUGUACAUUUUUCUUUAGAAUUAAUGUAUGAACAGUGUCUCACUUCUGCUGGAUGUAAAAAAAAAUGUAUAUGAAACCAUUUCAUUCAGUUGGUUACAUUUCUGAAGU
rnacentral:lncRNA from 1 species